CAUAGAUCUGGGUGUUUAAAGCAGCGUCAGUUUACUGGUUCGCCUUUGUUGACACCAUUCUCGGCGCUCGAGCGGAGGGUGGCAUAGACAGCUCUCCAGGCUCCCUCUGGCAACAGAGAGACAGGGCCUGCGACCUGUGUAGCCGUUCAAGGGUGUCACUUUCUCUUCCUUUUACGUAGGAAGUCCCCGCCGACGGAUCUUAGAUUAAAGCAACUUGUGGUUCUUAUCGUGGCGAGUCCUUGUGGCUUGUCAGCCCGUGCUUUGAGCGCGCCUUCGGGCUGCUGCUCAGUACGGGUAAUGGUUUGCGCUAUGGGUUGUGGCGGCAUAUUCCUAAACACUGCGUCGGACCAUUGGUCAGUAGGCGUUGGGGUAAAGCCAUGCUGCAGACAUCUUAUAUUUAUAGAAUCAUUAUGUAAAUAUGGAGGGACACAAGCUUUCACUGGCUAUUCGCGUGAUCUGAUUCCGUUGCGUCGACCGCUGGGUUUCAGUUAUUGACAGAGCGUUUCAUGGACGCAUUAU
rnacentral:misc_RNA from 1 species